rnacentral:lncRNA from 1 species
UUUUUUUUUUUUUUUUUGCCUUGAAGAGUGAAAAUAUUAUAAAGUGUAGGAGUGAAUAAAUAAAUGAUGGUAUGUUUCUAUAAGGAAAUUCAGCCAAUAGUAAUGGCAUUAUGGGAGAGUAUUUCAUGACAUUGAAAGAUAGUAACAUUGUUUUAAGUGAAAUAAACUGUCUACAAUAUAUGUGUAUAUAAAUAAGAAAGCCUGUUUUCUCACACCCUCCCACCAUGGUAUGACCCUAUUUUUUUAAAAUAUACACACACAUACAUACAUACAUACAUACAUAGAUACAUUCAUGCCCACACCAGAGCAAUUAGUUUGUUAAGAGUAUGGACUGUGUCAAUCCUGGCUUUGAAUCUCAGUUUAAGGGCUUUUAAAUCUUAGGUAAAUUACUUACAUUUUCUCUGUUUCAUUUUCCUAUCUUUAGAAUGAGGACAAGCUGACAUCUCACUUUCAGGCUCAAUUCUUCUUAAUGUAGUAGGUAUUUAAGAAGUAUUUAUUGAGUGAACAAAGUGUCCAUUACUGCUGAUACCCAGGUAGUUAUUAUUUUAUAUUAAAAACAGAAUUUAAAUGUUUGAUCUAUCAGCUCUUUCAACGAACUUGGAAAGAAAAUUGAAUUGCUUUAGAAGGAUUAUUUUUAAUUGAUUUUAAAUUUACAUACAGUAGAAGACAUUCCUUGUGUUAUGCCUCUGUGGGUUUCGACAAAACCGUAGAGUUGUGUAACUACCUUCACAGUCAUGAUAUAGGGCACUUGUAUGACCUCAAAGCUUCACUUUUGAGUCCUUCUCUGUAGUCAGCCUUUCCUCUUAGCCCCCAGUCUCGGGCAACCACCAGUUUGUUUUACAUCCUGAUAGUUUUGCCUUUUCCAGAAUGUCAUGGAAAUGAAAUUAUACAGUAUAUAGCCUUUUGCAUCUGGCUUUUCUCAUUUGGCAUAAUGUACCUGAAAUUCAUCCAUGCUCUAGCCUUUAUCAAUAGUUCAUUCUGAAGAUAAUUGCUAUUAUUUAUGAAAUGUCUGUAUCAUAACCACACAAGUUUUUUAUCCCAGAGUUUGUCCUGAAGCCAGAGUUGUGACAGUAUAGAAUGUUAACAACAAAGAAAACUUGAGAAGCCUCCUGGUCUAACUCAGCUUCUUGAGGAGUGUGUGUGUGUGUGUGUGUGUGUGUGUGUGUGUGUGUGUGUGAGUCUGAUGUAAUAUAUUGGGUUGAAGUGAUGACCUUAAAUUAUUUUUAGAAGGAAAACAAACCAGUACUUUUUAGUUUUGUUUAGAUUGAGAAGAAAGGGCUUUCUAUCAUUUUUUUUUUUAAUGUGAAGUAUAGUUGACAGAAAUAUUAUAUGUUAUAGGGCAGGAUAUAGUGACUCAAUUUUUAAAGUUUAUACUCCAUCUAUAGUUAUAAAGUAUUAGUUAUAUUCCCUGUGUUGUACAAUAAAUCAUUUAAGUUUAUUUUAUACACAAUAGUUUGUACCUCUUAAUCCCCUACCCUGAUAUUGCUCCUCCUCCCUCCCUCUCCCCACUGGUAACCACUAGUUUGUUCUUUAUAUCAGUGAACUGUUUCUUUUUUGUUAUAUUCAUGAGGUUUUUUAAAAAAUUUUUUAGAUUCCACAUAUAUGUAAUAUACAAUAUUUGUUUUUCUCUGAUUUAUCUCACUCAGCACAAUACCCUUUAAGUCCAUCCAUGUUCUUGUUUUAAAUCGCAAGGGGUGAUAAUAUAAUCUACCUCAGUUUUCUAGCAUUCAUAGUAAGCACUGGUUUGGAGAAUGGCCAGAAGUUAUCAUAGUUGUUACUUUCACCCCUGGGGCAUAUAACAUUUAGGGUAAUUGGCCAGAUUAGCAGGUAUUUGGUCCUGUCCAAAAUUCCAUUAGACAUUUAGGACAAGCCAAAAAGUUCUUGAUAUUUGUCCUUGUCAAGAACCAUUGGCACGGACCAAAUAUGCUCAUGGACAUUUUGGGUAGGACCAGAUUUCAAGGAACUUUUGGCAUGGACCAGGUAACUUUAUGGACAUUUUGGACAGGACCAAAUAGGACCAAAUAUCAGAGAUCUUUUGUUAUGGACCAGAUCUCUUAUGGAUAUUUUAGACAGGAGCUAAUGUCCUACCAGAAUUGUCUAAGUCUUUUAAACAUGUAAGCUUGAUCUGAUGAGCCCCAGAUCCCCAGAGAAAGAUCACACCAGAUCCUAAAGUGUAUAGAGGUAUGUACCUAAAUUAGAAUGAGUGCUUUAGUUGUUUAUUAUGUAUCCUGUUUAUCUUUUAUUUCUAAAGGCAUAGUACUACUUUAUUUAAAAAUAACUAGAUAGCUAUGGGCUGUGGGAUGGAAAUCCUGUGAAAUCAGAUUGUUAUGAUCAUUAUACAUCUACAGAUGUGAUAAAUUCAUUUGAGUAAUAAAAAAAAACUAGAUAACAUAUAAGUACCAUAUUAAUUAUAUCUUUAUAAAGGUAGCUCUAUUUCUUAAAAAUUGAAUUAGUUUUUUAAAAAUGUUAACUUGAAUUUAUAUUGAAUAUCCAUUUUUAUUACAUAAUAUAAUAAAAUAAAUAUUUAAUCUUAAGGAAAAUUCAGAGUUAUGCUUUAUAAUAUAAAAAACUAUAAAUGACAUCAAGCAUUUAUUUGCAUAUUUAAAUUUGUCACAGUAAUGGCAUGUUUAUACCCAUGUGUGUAUCAAUUGAUUUUUUUUCUACCUUAUUUUAAAAGCUCCCUUUUUUUUCUUUUUUCAUUUUCAACUGCGCUCGUAGCGUAUGGGAGUUCCCAGGCCAGGGAUGGAAUCUGAGCCACAUCUGUGACCUACGUCACACCUGUGGCAAUGCCGAAUCCUGAACCCACUGUGCCAGGCCAGGGAUUGAACUGGUGCCUUGACAGAGGCAAGCUGGGUCAUUGACACAUUGUACCACAGUGAGAACUCUCCAAACCUCCCUUUUAAAAUAUUUUUUAGCAGUUGAAUGAAUGUCAUGGAUAAAGAACUUAGUUUAAGCAUGCAAGGUGAUUUAUAUAUUUGCUCUGUUUAUAAUAACUUCAAUUAAAAUCUUUGGUAAAUAUGGUAGUUGUCAUAAGGAAAUAUGUUAUUUGCCAUGUUCAAAUCUGAACUCACGGAAACAAUUUUUAAGGGACUGUAAUUGUGUCUUUGGUUCGGUAUUUCAUUUCCGUUUAUAGUUCAAACAUUUGUUGUACAUUUCUGUGUGGUUUAUAUAUUUUUUUCACAUCACUGCCACAAGACAUUCAGUUAGAGUUUUAAGCUGAAUUUUUUUUUUAAUAAUUCAUCCCUUAAACUUCCUUCCACCCUUUUGUAAAGCCUCUACUGCCAAGGAUAUGGAAAUUAAGCAGAGACUGAGCUAAGUGUUAUGGUAAUUGACAAACUAGUUUGGUUAGAUAAGUCUCCCAGUUGGCGUGUCAGCACAAAUUAGUCUAGCCCAUGGAGAGAAGAAAGUAGAAAAUAAUGUCCCAAAAUGCUAAGAAAGCAAUGAGCUGUGACAGAGAAAGGGCCUGAGAUACCAUCCCUGUACUGAAUUGAAGGGAGAAUCAAGAAUGUCAAUCUUAGCUAUUGAAAUUGCCUUACAGUACAUGGGAGGUGCUAAUUUGCUCAGACAUCUUUUGGCAACGUUGCAUGUAAAAUCUGCUGAGUCCUCUUGUUAUUUAUGGGCAGUAAUACCUUUAACCAGAGAGCUAUCUUUCUGGACUUGCCGCUUUCUGAGAAUAAAGGCUCGAGGAAUAUGGGAGAUGUCAGUAGCAACAGGCAACUUGAAUUCCUCAAGAUAAAGACCAUGGCUGGGAAGAAUUGAACAGGCAAGUGAAGGUGACUGACUCCACAUUAAUAAUAAAUUUAUAAGAGUACAGAACAAAUCAUACCAGGCCAUCUUUAUCGUUUUCUAGGUGGAUGUGCAAGAUUAAAGAAAGGAAUUCAAUAGCUGUAAUAUCUGGAAUUGAGUAAAUCAUCUAAUUCAGUGUCUCCACAAAUCUUUGGGGGCGCAGGGGAUGGGGAGAACCUCAAUGAGAAUUGGCUCAGAGUACUGUCAUGUGGAUUCAAUUUGGUGGUUGUAAUAAAUUACAAUACAACAAGGUCCAUUGGGACAAUGUGGGGAUCAAUAGAAGGUCAGUCUGUAACAUCUCCAGCAGAGGUCUGGAAGAAUGGAUAACACACUUUAUUAAGCUUGGCAGGCCAGGAGGUUUUGGUAUUGUUGUGGUCACCACCACUGUCAUUAGCCUUUAUGAAGCACCUGUUGUGUAUGGGGCACUCGAGUGGCUGCCAGUAGAGAGAUAGAAUGUGUACAAUUGUCCAAAUGGUCAACUUGUUUUAAAAUGAUAACAGGUACAAUUUACCGAAUGUUUAUACAGCUGCCAUGCCUGGUGGUAAGCCUUUUUCAUGGGUUGUUUCCUUUAACUCGAGGUGGGGUUUCUCUCUCCAUUUUGUGAAUGGGGAAGGUGAGGUAUAGAGAAUUAUUGUGAGUAAUGCAGAUGUUACAUAGUAGCAAGAGAUUAUGAAAUGAAGUAGUCUUGCUUUUUACUCUUAACCACUUUCUAUACAUACAGUAUCCCUACGUGCUCAUGGGGAAAAGUGUAUUCAUUUGUUAGUUCAUUUAUUUGUUCAUUCAUUCAGCAAACAUCCCAAAUAUACUUAAGAUGUUCCUGGUAGCAGAGCAGACAGAACCUAUUCAAAGAUAAUUUUCCAGAGGUCCCAUCGUGGCUCAGCAGAAACAAAUCUAAUAUCCAUGAGGAUGCAGGUUCAAUCCCUGGCCUUGUUCAGUGGGUUGAAGAUCUGGCAUUGCUGUGAGCUGUGGUGCAGGUCACAGAGUGGCUUGGAUCUGGUGUUGCUGUGGCGGUGGUGUAGGCCAGUGGCUACAGCUCUAAUUCAACCCUUAGCUUGGGAACCUCCAUAUGCCACAGGUACAGCCCUAAAAAG